CGGGAAUUUUGGGCAAUGGGCGAAAGCCUGACCCAGCAACGCCGCGUGAGGGAUGAAGUAUUUCGGUAUGUAAACCCCGAAAGAAUGGGAAGAAUAAAUGACGGUACCAUUUAUAAGCUCCGGCUAACUACGUGCCAGCAGCCGCGGUAAUACGUAGGGAGCAAGCGUUGUUCGGAUUUACUGGGCGUAAAGGGCGCGUAGGCGGCGCGGUAAGUCACUUGUGAAAUCUCUGAGCUUAACUCAGAACGGCCAAGUGAUACUGCUGUGCUAGAGUGCGGAAGAGGCAACCGGAAUUCUUGGUGUAGCGGUGAAAUGCGUAGAUAUCAAGAGGAACACCUGAGGCGAAGGCGGGUUGCUGGGCCGACACUGACGCUGAUGCGCGAAAGCCAGGGGAGCAAACG
rnacentral:rRNA from 1 species